CAGUGUUGCGUGUGCGAGGUCGUGGCCGAUCCAACCUGCGCCAGUGCUAGCUUCGGAAUAGUGCGCCGCCGCUUUGGUUCAGGGAGUCCAGGCCUUCCAGGGCAUUGGCUCCUCCUUGGUUCCUUAGGUUGCCGCCAACUAGCGUUGCGUGCGUGCGUGCCAACUGCUUGCUGAAAUUCCUUUGACGGUUGGGAGGAAUGCUCCUGGCGUCCGGUGGACACUAUGUGCUCGCUCCUGAGUAUGUUCUUCGACGACUCGUCGUCAUCUGACGACGACGACGACUUUGAUAUGGUGGCGAUUUUACUCAUCGGCAUUGCAAUGAACGUGGGGGCGCAAGCAUGGUGGGCGUAAGAAGCAUGAUCGGCGUAAGGUGGUCCGUCGGAAGCUCUUUGAUGAUUACUCAACAGACGACGAGUCCACGUCCGGCACUACCUCCCCCUCGGCCGCCACGACUCCGGCCACCGCGAAGCUUGCCAUGGUGCCACAGUCCACGGCGUUCCCGCGCAGGUCUGCUGCUGCCAGGAAAAUCUCCAGGAGGCCCAGGACCCGCGGCCUCGUCGCGCGCGCUGGAGGCGAGGAGGAGCGUGCCUGUCAUGGACCUGUCUGCUGGUGAAGCACCCAUGACAAGGCGUCAGAAGAGGAAAGCUUCGGUGCAGGCAAAGCGGAAGGUGAAGGAAGCGCAAGCUGGCGGGAACUCUGCAGAAGAGGCGCGGGAACUGAAGAUGGGCUCGAUCCGGCUGGCCCGGCUACACGCCGUGAAGCAAACCCAACCCGAAGUACCUCGGACCAGAGUGGGUGCGUUGAGGCAGGCCUAGCAAAUGCUGCGGCCUCUGGGGAUCGUCGUCUACGUCAAGAUUCAGGCUUUUAAUAGCCUACUAAUAGGUAGAUCUUGACCGUCUAUCCGGCCGGAGAAACGACGGCAAGCAUCGUCGACAUUUUGGAUCGUGCUACUCUAUUACUUGAACCUCCUAUAGAAGAACCGUAUCAGGGCCUUUGGUGGGGAACAGGGCUCCGGACUUGGCCGAGUCCGUAUUCAGACAUUUCAACCGUAUCGGCUGAUGGUGCUCCUGCCACCUGCGUUGUGCGUU